GCUGGCGGCGUGCCUAAACAUGCAAGUCGAACGGGAAAGGUUCUUCGGGACCGAGUAGAGUGGCGAACGGGUGAGUAACGCGUGGAUAACCUGCCCUGAAGAGGGGGAUAACUCCGCGAAAGCGGGGCUAAUACCGCAUGAGCCCGCAAGGGGAAAGAUGCAAAUCGCUUCAGGAGGGGUCCGCGUCCGAUUAGCUGGUCGGUGAGGUAAAGGCUCACCGAGGCUUCGAUCGGUAGCCGGUCUGAGAGGACGGACGGCCACACUGGGACUGAGACACGGCCCAGACUCCUACGGGAGGCAGC
rnacentral:rRNA from 1 species